AGCGAACGCUGGCGGCAGGCCUAACACAUGCAAGUCGAACGAAGUCUUCGGACUUAGUGGCGGACGGGUGAGUAACACGUGGGAACGUACCUUUUGGUUCGGAACAACUCAGGGAAACUUGAGCUAAUACCGGAUGAGCCCUUAGGGGGAAAGAUUUAUCGCCGAAAGAGCGGCCCGCGGUAAAUUAGCUAGUUGGAGAGGUAAAGGCUCACCAAGCCUACGAUCUAUAGCUGGUCUGAGAGGAUGAUCAGCCACACUGGGACUGAGACACGGCCCAGACUCCUACGGGAGGCAGCAGUGGGGAAUCUUGCGCAAUGGGCAAAAGCCUGACGCAGCCAUGCCGCGUGAAUGAUGAAGGUCUUAGGAUUGUAAAAUUCUUUUACCAGGGACGAUAAUGACGGUACCUGGAGAAAAAGCCCCGGCUAACUUCGUGCCAGCAGCCGCAGUAACAC
rnacentral:rRNA from 1 species